ACACUGAAAAGAAUACUAUUCAAUUUUUAUUUAUUUUUUUAAUAAGUAUACUUUUAAGUCCAUCUUUUAAAAGGUGUUAAAGCUUUUAGCCGAAAAAAAAAUUUAUUGUAACUCGCCUUAAUUACUUACUUAUGGGCUGCACUUUGAUUUGUAUUUUUCUUUAGAUAAGAUGUAGAAUUUGCUUUUGGCAGAUCCUAUACAACGGUAUACAAGCUAUCUUAAGUAAGGAGUAUUUACUUGGUGGCUGUCAAUUAUAUGGUAAGUUCCCCUAAAAAAUUCAUACAGCCGCCAUAAUGUUUAAGUUUGGGCCUUAUAGUAAGUGCUAGUCCUUGUCUUAUAAAUUUAGUUUCCGAAUAAUUGGGUAUCUAAUCCAGGUUUUUAUAUGGGAGCUUAGUAAGAUGAAUAAUAAAGUUAGGGCUUCAAGCAUUUAUAGUAUUUCACUACAUAUAAAUUUUUUUUAUAUAUUUACAACUAAUGACAAUAAUUAUAAACUAAUCUAUUAGGUUUGACCGCGGUUGCUGGCACCUAAUAAACCUAGACUAAAUAACUAGCUAAAUUUAAAUUUCUUUAAUUUAUUAAUAUUUUUAACUGAGAAAAUUAUCUAUACCUCAUAUUAUACUAUGUUGUAUGCUUAUAGUUUCAUCAAAUUAAAGUGACUUUUAAGGGGGUAAUUACCAUUUUAGG
rnacentral:rRNA from 1 species